rnacentral:rRNA from 1 species
AGCUGAUCACUGGGCGUAAAGCGUGCGCAGGCGGUUUGUAAGACAGAGGUAAAAUCCCCGGGCUCAACCUGGGAACUGCCUUUGUGACUGCAAGGCUGGAGUGCGGCGGAGGGGGAUGGAAUUCCGCGUGUAGCAGUGAAAUGCGUAGAUAUGCGGAGGAACACCGAUGGCGAAGGCAAUCCCCUGGGCCUGCACUGACGCUCAUGCACGAAAGCGUGGGGAGCAAACA